AGCGAACGCUGGCGGCAGGCCUAACACAUGCAAGUCGAACGAACCUUCCGGAGGUAGUGGCGGAUGGGUGUGUAACACGUCGGAACAUGCCUUUAGGGUCGGAAUAACUAAGGGAAACUUGUGCUAAUACCGAACGUGCGCUACGGGCGGAAGAUUAAUCGCCUCUAGAGCGUCAAGCGUCGGAUUAGCUAGUUGGUUGAGGUAAUGGCUCAUCAAGGCGACGAUCAGUAGCUGGUCUGGGAGCAUGAUCAGACACAUUGGGACGGGGACGCAGCCGAGACUCCUACGGGAGGCAGCAGUGGGGAAUCUUGCGCAAUGGGCGAAAGCAUGACGCAGCCAUGCCGGGUGAAUGAUGAAGGUCUUAGGAUUGUAAAAUUCUUUCAACGGGGACGAUAAUGACGGUACCCGGAGAAGAAGCCCCGGCUAACUUCGUG
rnacentral:rRNA from 1 species